GAUGAGCGCUGGCGGCGUGCUUAACACAUGCAAGUCGAACGGAAAGGCCCAAGCUUGCUUGGGUACUCGAGUGGCGAACGGGUGAGUAACACGUGGGUGAUCUGCCCUGCACUUCGGGAUAAGCCUGGGAAACUGGGUCUAAUACCGGAUAGGACCACAUUUUGGAUGGUGUGGUGGAAAGUUUUUCGGUGUGGGAUGAGCUCGCGGCCUAUCAGCUUGUUGGUGGGGUAAUGGCCUACCAAGGCGUCGACGGGUAGCCGGCCUGAGAGGGUGUACGGCCACAUUGGGACUGGGAUACGGCCCAGACUCCUACGGGAGGCAGCAGUGGGGAAUAUUGCACAAUGGGCGCAAGCCUGAUGCAGCGACGCCGCGUGGGGGAUGACGGCCUUCGGGUUGUAAACUCCUUUCGCUAGGGACGAAGCGCAAGUGACGGUACCUGGAGAAGAAGCACCGGCUAACUACGUG
rnacentral:rRNA from 1 species